GGGGCUGUAGCUCAACCGGUUAGAGCAGCGGACUCAUAAUCCGUUGGU
rnacentral:tRNA from 1 species